UACGGGGGGGGCAAGCGUUGUUCGGAAUUACUGGGCGUAAAGGGCUCGUAGGCGGCCAACUAAGUCGGAUGUGAAAUCCCCAGGCUCGGCCUGGGAACUGCAUCCGAUACUGGAUGGCUUGAAUUCGGGAGAGGGAUGCAGAAUUCCAGGUGUAGCGGUGAAAUGCGUAGAUAUCAGGAGGAACACCGGUGGCGAAGGCGGAUCUCUGGGCCGUAACUGACGCUGAGGAGCGAAAGCAUGGGGAGCGAACAGG
rnacentral:rRNA from 1 species